rnacentral:rRNA from 2 species
UGCAGAAUCCCGUGAAUCAUCGAGUUUUUGAACGCAAGUUGCGCCUGAAGCCAUUAGGCCGAAGGCACGUCUGCCUGGGCGUCUCGC